UCCGGUUUGUCACCGGCAGUCAUCUUAGAGUGCCCACCAUUAUGUGCUGGCAACUAAGAUCAAGGGUUGCGCUCGUUGCGGGACUUAACCCAACAUCUCACGACACGAGCUGACGACAACCAUGCACCACCUGUCUCCCCUGUCCCGAAGGAAAGGUCUAUCUCUAGACCGGUCAGGGGGAUGUCAAGACCUGGUAAGGUUCUUCGCGUUGCUUCGAAUUAAACCACAUACUCCACUGCUUGUGCAGGUCCCCGUCAAUUCCUUUGAGUUUCAGUCUUGCGACCGUACUCCCCAGGCGGAAUGCUUAAUGUGUUAACUUCGGCACCAAGGGUAUUGAAACCCCCAACACCUAGCAUUCAUCGUUUACGGCGUGGACUAC
rnacentral:misc_RNA from 1 species